rnacentral:rRNA from 1 species
GCCUACGGGGGGCAGCAGUAGGGAAUUUUCGUCAAUGGGCGCAAGCCUGAACGAGCAAUGCCGCGUGAACGAGGAAGGUCUUCGGAACGUAAAGUUCUGUUGAAGGGGAAAAAGAGCGGAGAGAGGAAAUGGUCUCCGAUUGAUAUUACCCUUCGAGGAAGUCACGGCUAACUACGUGCCAGCAGCCGCGGUAAUACGUAGGUGGCGAGCGUUAUCCGGAAUGAUUGGGCGUAAAGGGUGCGUAGGCGGCCUGCUAAGUCUGGAGUGAAAGGUACCGGCUCAACCGGUACAGGCUCUGGAAACUG